rnacentral:rRNA from 1 species
GAUCCUGGCUCAGAACGAACGCUGGCGGCAGGCCUAACACAUGCAAGUCGAGCGAGAUCUUCGGAUCUAGCGGCGGACGGGUGAGUAACGCGUGGGAACGUACCCUCUUCUGCGGGAUAGCCACUGGAAACGGUGAGUAAUACCGCAUACGCCCUUCGGGGGAAAGAUUUAUCGGAGGAGGAUCGGCCCGCGUUGGAUUAGGUAGUUGGUGGGGUAAUGGCCUACCAAGCCUACGAUCCAUAGCUGGUUUUAGAGGAUGAUCAGCCACACUGGGACUGAGACACGGCCCAGACUCCUACGGGAGGCAGCAGUGGGGAAUCUUAGACAAUGGGCGCAAGCCUGAUCUAGCCAUGCCGCGUGAGUGACGAAGGCCUUAGGGUCGUAAAGCUCUUUCGCCUGUGAUGAUAAUGACAGUAGCAGGUAAAGAAACCCCGGCUAACUCCGUGCCAGCAGCCGCGGUAAUACGGAGGGGGUUAGCGUUGUUCGGAAUUACUGGGCGUAAAGCGCACGUAGGCGGAUUGGAAAGUAUGGGGUGAAAUCCCAGGGCUCAACCCUGGAACGGCCUCAUAAACUUCCAGUCUGGAGUUCGAGAGAGGUGAGUGGAAUUCCGAGUGUAGAGGUGAAAUUCGUAGAUAUUCGGAGGAACACCAGUGGCGAAGGCGGCUCACUGGCUCGAUACUGACGCUGAGGUGCGAAAGUGUGGGGAGCAAACAGGAUUAGAUACCCUGGUAGUCCACACCGUAAACGAUGAAUGCCAGUCGUCGGCAAGCAUGCUUGUCGGUGACACACCUAACGGAUUAAGCAUUCCGCCUGGGGAGUACGGUCGCAAGAUUAAAACUCAAAGGAAUUGACGG